GAUGAACGCUGGCGGCGUGCCUAAUACAUGCAAGUCGAGCGAACAGACGACGAGCUUGCUCCUCUGACGUUAGCGGCGGACGGGUGAGUAACACGUGGAUAACCUACCUAUAAGACUGGGAUAACUUCGGGAAACCGGAGCUAAUACCGGAUAAUAUAUUGAACCGCAUGGUUCAAUAGUGAAAGACGGUUUUGCUGUCACUUAUAGAUGGAUCCGCGCCGCAUUAGCUAGUUGGUAAGGUAACGGCUUACCAAGGCAACGAUGCGUAGCCGACCUGAGAGGGUGAUCGGCCACACUGGAACUGAGACACGGUCCAGACUCCUACGGGAGGCAGCAGUAGGGAAUCUUCCGCAAUGGGCGAAAGCCUGACGGAGCAACGCCGCGUGAGUGAUGAAGGUCUUCGGAUCGUAAAACCCUGUUAUUAGGGAAGAACAAAUGUGUAAGUAACUAUGCACGUCUUGACGGUACCUAAUCAGAAAGCCACGGCUAACUACGU
rnacentral:rRNA from 1 species